rnacentral:rRNA from 1 species
CGGAACGGGUGAGUAACGCGUGAGGAACCUGCCUCAAAGAGGGGGGCAACAGUUGGAAACGACUGCUAAUACCGCAUAAGCCCACGGCUCGGCAUCGAGCAGAGGGAAAAGGAGCAAUCCGCUUUGAGAUGGCCUCGCGUCCGAUUAGCUAGUUGGUGAGGUAACGGCCCACCAAGGCGACGAUCGGUAGCCGGACUGAGAGGUUGAACGGCCACAUUGGGACUGAGACACGGCCCAG